CUACACCAACAUGGACGGCGCUGGUUGGAGUCGGAUAUGCGUCGCUCUUGUUGUCGCUGUGUGGCUGCCUGUCAUUAAUGGAAGUCCGAUAGGCACUACAACCAUUAACUGUGUUUCGGUUUCUGAAGCAAAGCAUCUGGGUGCUGUGGAUGAAGAAUAUUCAGGUGAUGUGGAGCUGGUGACUGGUAUUCCACCUGGUACCAGUCUGACCCUGGAGGUGGACAUUUUCGAC